rnacentral:rRNA from 1 species
UACGGAGGAUGCAAGCGUUAUCCGGAAUGAUUGGGCGUAAAGCGUCCGCAGGUGGCAAUGUAAGUCUGCUGUCAAAGCGUCUGGCUCAACCAGAUAAAGGCAGUGGAAACUACAUAGCUAGAGUAAGGUAGGGGUAGAGGGAAUUCCUGGUGUAGCUGUGAAAUGCGUAGAGAUCAGGAAGAACACCGGUGGCGAAAGCGCUCUGCUGGACCUAAACUGACACUGAGGGACGAAAGCGAGGGGAGCGAAUGGG